rnacentral:rRNA from 1 species
GUAUGGAGCAAGCGUUAUCCGGAUUUACUGGGUGUAAAGGGAGCGCAGGCGGUGCGGCAAGUCUGAUGUGAAAACCCGGGGCUCAACCCCGGGACUGCAUUGGAAACUGUCGGACUAGAGUGCCGGAGAGGUAAGUGGAAUUCCUAGUGUAGCGGUGAAAUGCGUAGAUAUUAGGAAGAACACCAGUGGCGAAGGCGGCUUGCUGGACAGUAACUGACGUUGAGGCUCGAAAGCGUGGGGAGCAA